AUUAAGGAGCAGCUCUGGGCCCAGGUGACCCUGCUUGGCCACACCUGCAGAGCCUGCGUAAGCUGGAGGUAGAGCUUAAAAGGGGGAGCGGAGCAGGUCAGAAGAAAAGAAGCAGUGGAAGGGAACAGAACUCUGGCCUGAGGAAAUCAUUGCCCCGGAGCACCUGUUGCUUGAGACCUGACCAAGCUUGCAAAGGAAAGACUGAAGGUGCUUCCGGAAAAGGAUGAUCUUGUACAUGAUGCACAGAACUCCAAGAUGUAUAUUUUAAAUUCAGUUUGCCACAGGCUUUCUGGGUGACUGCGAGUGACUUAAUAUCUCUGUGCCUUAUCCCCGCCCCCCAUGGGGAAAUCAUAUUUUGAUGCAAAAUCAUCUAUACAUUGUGACUCCACACAAGUUGUGCUGUCAGUGGUUACUAGACAAACAAUGAUCUGACCUUGAUUAUUUGAAUGGUAACCUGAGUGGAAAAUGCAGUGAUGUAUCUGGAGUCAGGAUCUAAUCCUUCUGAAGGUAACCCUUGUCAAGGUACUCUUUUGAGAGUUAUGUAGCACAAUGAAGGCACUGUGUCACAACCUCCAGAGAUGGUAAA